UAACACAUGCAAGUCGAGGGGCAUCAGGAAGAAUGCUUGCUUUCUUUGCUGGCGACCGGCGCACGGGUGAGUAACACGUAUCCAACCUGCCCUUUACUCGGGGAUAGCCUUUCGAAAGAAAGAUUAAUACCCGAUGGCAUAAUGAUUCCGCAUGGUUUCAUUAUUAAAGGAUUCCGGUAAAGGAUGGGGAUGCGUUCCAUUAGGUUGUUGGUGAGGUAACGGCUCACCAAGCCUUCGAUGGAUAGGGGUUCUGAGAGGAAGGUCCCCCACAUUGGAACUGAGACACGGUCCAAACUCCUACGGGAGGCAGCAGUGAGGAAUAUUGGUCAAUGGGCGCUAGCCUGAACCAGCCAAGUAGCGUGAAGGAUGAAGGCUCUAUGGGUCGUAAACUUCUUUUAUAUAAGAAUAAAGUGCAGUAUGUAUACUGUUUUGUAUGUAUUAUAUGAAUAAGGAUCGGCUAACUCCGUGCCAGCAGCCGCGGUAAUACGGAGGAUCCGAGCGUUAUCCGGAUUUAUUGGGUUUAAAGGGAGCGUAGGUGGACUGGUAAGUCAGUUGUGAAAGUUUGCGGCUCAACCGUAAAAUUGCAGUUGAUACUGUCAGUCUUGAGUACAGUAGAGGUGGGCGGAAUUCGUGGUGUAGCGGUGAAAUGCUUAGAUAUCACGAAGAACUCCGAUUGCGAAGGCAGCUCACUGGACUGCAACUGGCACUGAUGCUCGAAAGUGUGGGUAUCAAACAGGAUUAGAUACCCUGGUAGUCCACACAGUAAACGAUGAAUACUCGCUGUUUGCGAUAUACAGUAAGCGGCCAAGCGAAAGCAUUAAGUAUUCCACCUGGGGAGUACGCCGGCAACGGUGAAACUCAAAGGAAUUGACGGGGGCCCGCACAAGCGGAGGAACAUGUGGUUUAAUUCGAUGAUACGCGAGGAACCUUACCCGGGCUUAAAUUGCAGUGGAAUGAUGUGGAAACAUGUCAGUGAGCAAUCACCGCUGUGAAGGUGCUGCAUGGUUGUCGUCAGCUCGUGCCGUGAGGUGUCGGCUUAAGUGCCAUAACGAGCGCAACCCUUAUCUUUAGUUACUAACAGGUUAUGCUGAGGACUCUAGAGAGACUGCCGUCGUAAGAUGUGAGGAAGGUGGGGAUGACGUCAAAUCAGCACGGCCCUUACGUCCGGGGCUACACACGUGUUACAAUGGGGGGUACAGAAGGCAGCUAGCGGGUGACCGUAUGCUAAUCCCAAAAGCCUCUCUCAGUUCGGAUCGAAGUCUGCAACCCGACUUCGUGAAGCUGGAUUCGCUAGUAAUCGCGCAUCAGCCACGGCGCGGUGAAUACGUUCCCGGGCCUUGUACACACCGCCCGUCAAGCCAUGGGAGCCGGGGGUACCUGAAGUACGUAACCGCAAGGAUCGUCCUAGGGUAAAACUGGUGACUGGGGCUAAGUC
rnacentral:rRNA from 1 species